GUGCUGUGUGAGGCACCCAGGGAGGUGGGUCCCCAGGGCAGGAGGGACAAGUCCCAGGAGAGCUUUAAGCACCCCGCUGAAUAUUUGGAGUUGGCUGCUGCACUGCACAGAGCAUUUGGAGGAUUUAAGCCGGGCCCAGGGGCAGAAUGACUAUUAUUUUGGAUUAGUGGGAUGUUGCUUUGAAUAUUAGCCUCCUUAAAGGGAAUAACUCUGCGGUGGCCAGAAUUGCGGAAGCCCAAAUACCCACAAGCCUCUAUUUUAAGGCACUAACGAAUCACUAGAGCCAGGCAGGGGGAGACUUGAGUGGCAGAGAAGGCACCUGCCUCCCCCAGCACGGCACAGCGGGUUAAGGGGAGAGCCAAAGCACCGUCAGGCCGGAGUAUCCAUGGGGCCACCCUUGGCCUCCCCUUGGCUUUUCGGAGCUCGCUCGAAACCCUCGGUUUGCACGGUGGCUGCCUUUGCGACUCGCCAACCCCGAUGUCACAGAGCAGCCGACCGGCCCGGGGAAGCAGGGUCCCCCACCAGAGUUGGUUGUGAUUUCUGCCCUUCACCUGCAGCCGGGACUCCCCGUCGCCCUGCGUGCUGGGGGAGGCUUCAUCGAACUGAGAACUGGACAAGAGGUCACUUUCUGGGCAGCCCGACGCACACAAGAGCCCGAAUCCCUGUGGAUCCCACAACACGACUGAGCGCGAUCCUCCCCGUUUCGCUAGCCCCAGGUGCGAUGGAGGUGGAAGAGGUCUUCUUCCAGCUCUGCGAGGAGGUUGCCAGGCUGCAGGAGCUGUGUGUGAAGCAGGGCAAACUCCUCCGGAAGCUGACUGCAAGGAAGGGACCUGUCCUUGAUAUCCCCGUGUCACUGCCAAUCCAGUGCACGGAGGAUAUGGUAACGGAAGAAGCGGAAAAACCCUCGGAGAGCCAAAGGGAAUGCUCUGAGGCCCCGACGUCUGCCGCAACUGGCCCCAGCUCUGCCCAUCCACUGGCACAGCCCCACGCUGGCGUCGCGCUGCCCGCCUGUGACAUCACGGACCCCCCGAGCACCGAAAAUGCCUGCGUAUUAAGCAAUGGGAACGGGAAAGCAGCCCUUGCCAUGGCUUUUGGCAGCCAGCACUGCAGUAAGGCGGAGAGGAGCGAGAAGGGGGAUUUAGACACGUGGCUGAAAAAUUAUAGGAUGCUUCCUACCGCAAAAGCCGGCAAGGAAGAAGCGAGGGCUUGCUGUAACCUGCCAGAGUUUGCAGCGCCCAACCCAGAGGCCAUCGACUCCUUCCUGGACCUGUACGAAGCCCCACAAGACCUUCAGAGUGAAGACGCAUCCGGUGAAAGCGCUCUGCCAGCUGCGACUCAUGUUCCUGUAGAAAUCCGAGGACCUGUGAAGACGUCCUGGAUGCCAGCAUGGAUGCUGGAGGAGAGCCUUGGGCAAGGCACUGUCCUCACCUCGGAGGCCAUGCGAACUUGUGACUUUUGCCAGGCUAUUUUCCCUUCGGACGCAACAACCCAAGCAGACUAUUUGAAGCACCUCUUAGCCCAUAUGAAAUAGGACUCAAGCUUCGAACUCAUAAAUCUCUGUAUUUGCACUUCAGCUAACACCACGUGCCCUGGGAUCCCUUCAUGUGAUCCUGCUGCUGGCUUUGACUGGGGUCUCUCAGCUCAGGUAGCGAUCCUCUUCCAUUUAAUUUGGUGUGCCGCAACCCCGGUCCCUGUUGCAAUGUUUGAUGGGCCAUAUUAGGGCUCUUAAUAUGCCUUGGUUUGCUGAGCUUCGUGAAUGUCAACCAGCUUCUGUCCCGGGGUUUGGACAUGUGUGGGGCUGUGUGCAGGCUGAGGGGAACUUUAGCUCAAUGGGAAAUGGAAAAAUUUCCAAAUUCUCCUAAACCAGAAGAAGUUAAAACAAGUUUUCCAUAAUGACAUAGGGAUAUUUGAAGAGCCACGUUGGCUUUUUCCAAAAACAUGGAAGAUCUGGUGAGAGGCUGAGAGACUCACAACAGUUUUUAAUGUCACUAAAUCCAAAUUUGCCUAUGGAGCAGAGCCCCAGCCCCGGUGCUGUGAGCGUGAAAUGCCGCCCGCCUGCGGCAAGGGGGACCGACAUGAACCGCAUUUAACUUCCAAGUGUGUUGGCAGGGGAAGGGCGUAACUGAGGGCUCUUCUUCCUCCUCAUUAAAACCUCAUCAGCUCCGGCUCAGUGGCUUGUGCAAGUUUAAUUGAUCCCUCUCCAGGUGGGAGGAGGCUUAUCUGCUCCGGGCCGCGUGGGGUCCGUGCUCCCAGCCUGGGGCCUUCUGUGUUUACAGAGCGACGGAGCGGAAACGAGCACCACCAAGCCUGGCUCCUCCAGCGCAGGGACGUGACCGCCACGCGUGUUAUUAUCCUGCCUUUCUGUUUAGUCUCUUGGGGAAAAUAUCUUUCGGGGAGCCGGUGGGUUGAUACGACUGUCGGAUUCGGGGGAAACAGCUUCUGUUCCUGGGUCUGAUCCUUUGCCUGAGGAUAAAACCUUGCUGAGCAGCAAUUUGCCGUGGAGCAUGUUCACCUGCAAGGUUUCGAUCUUG
ensembl:lncRNA uncharacterized LOC104152464